UGGCAGCACAUGCUUGUAUAAUAAAAAUUGGAAUGAUACAGAGAAGAUUAGCAUGGACCCUCUGGAAGGAUAACAUGCACAUUUGUGAAGCAUUCCAUAUUUUA